UACGAGGGGGGCGAGCGUUGUUCGGAAUUAUUGGGCGUAAAGGGUGCGUAGGCGGUUUGGUAAGUCUGAUGUGAAAUCUAUGGGCUCAACUCAUAGUCUGCAUCGGAAACUGCCGGGCUUGAGUGUGGGAGAGGUGAGUGGAAUUCCUGGUGUAGCGGUGAAAUGCGUUGAGAUCGGAAGGAACGCCCGUGGCGAAAGCGAGGUCCUGGACGUCUACUGACGCUGAGACGCGAAAGCUAGGGUAGCGAACGGG
rnacentral:rRNA from 1 species